rnacentral:rRNA from 1 species
UAAUACGUAGGACCCAAGCGUUGUCCGGAUUUACUGGGUGUAAAGGGUGCGUAGGCGGAUAGGUGCGUCAGAGGUGAAAUUUCCCGGCUUAACUGGGAGGGUGCCUUUGAUACGGCUUGUCUUGAGUGCGAAAGAGGAUGAUGGAAUUCCUGGUGUAGCGGUGAAAUGCGUAGAUAUCAGGAGGAACACCCGUGGCGAAGGCGGUCAUCUGGUUCGCAACUGACGCUGAGGCACGAAAGCGUGGGGAUCAAACAGGAUUAGAUACCCUGGUAGUCCACGCCUUAAACGAUGUAUGCUUGAUAUCGGAGAAAUUCGGUGUCGUAGGUAACCUGGUAAGCAUACCACCUGGGAAGUACGAUCGCAAGGUUG